AGGACGAACGCUGGCGGCGUGCUUAACACAUGCAAGUCGAACGGUGAAGCUCCAGCUUGCUGGAGUGGAUCAGUGGCGAACGGGUGAGUAACACGUGAGCAACCUGCCCCAAACUCUGGAAUAAGCACUGGAAACGGUGUCUAAUACUGGAUACGAGACCAACCUGCAUGGGUAUGGUUUGGAAAGUUUUUCGGUUGGGAUGGGCUCGCGGCCUAUCAGCUUGUUGGUGAGGUAAUGGCUCACCAAGGCGACGACGGGUA
rnacentral:rRNA from 1 species